AGCACAUCCUUUGUACUCAUUUAGAAACGUAACUCUGAAUUUCUCUGUCUCUGCAAAGGGGUAAUUCCUGGGUGUUCUUCAGUGGUGAGUGAAGGCAUUUUUGCACAUGCUAUCGGAUGAACUGAGUCUAGAAUUUUGGUGAGCUCUCUUCCAGAAUAGACCACUGGUUCCUUGGGUGAGAAUGAAGACUUGCAAAGAGCCUGAUGGUGAGGAUAAGAUUGCUUUGUGAGAAGUUUAUACAUCAGAGCAGUGGGAACAGAGCAGACAUAUUUGAUACCGAAAAAAGUGAACCCCAGGAGAGGGCUCCAAGCUUCAGCUCUUGUCUGAGACUGUCCUGCACUGUGGCUGUAUGAUUACCAUAGCCCUUGACUUCUGAAUGGCAAAUGGCACCUGAAAGAGAAAUCACUAAGUCACAGGGUCGGCUCCAUCCUACUCCUCUAUACUAUACAGGAAGCUGCACUGGGAGACUGAAGAAGUGAAGAGGCAUUUUGUUCAGCUCCUUUUUCAUCAUGCUAAUAGACAGCUUUUUAUCCCCUUCCCUGUAAUGUACUUGCUAAUAUUAUAUCUGAUCUUACUAGGAUUCCAUUUGACACCUGGAAUUGAAAAUAAGAUAAAGCCACAAUGUAAGGUUCCAGGUGGCCACACUUAUUUGGAGACACCAUUUAACACGGUUCUGCUUCUACUUCCAUGAGAACCUAGUGAAGAAGACACAGCCAGAGCUUUGAUCAAAGAUUCCAAAUGCAAAUACAACUAACCACCCAACUGGUCCCAUCAGCCAAUGUAUCUCUUUGUUACCUCAAGGGAGAUUGAUUUACGCUUUCAUCAAUAAAUCUUCAUAUUUUCAA
rnacentral:lncRNA from 1 species